AUGGGAAGCCCUAAUUUUUCUUAAAUGAUAAGAAAAGAGGACAGAUGAAAUUUUAAAGGUCAAAUGGGAAACUCCCCAAAUUUCGUAAUUCAUACGGUAAAAAGUGUGGCAUAAACCAACAGUCUCAGCUAAAACUAAAAUCUUAAAAACCGAAGCAAUUCUUGAUAAAAAAAAGCGAGCCAAACUUUUUUCUCAAAAAACGAUCUUUUU
rnacentral:sRNA from 1 species